AGCAGCUGCUAACUUUGCAGUUUGUAUUUGUGUUUUAAAAAUCAGUGCCGCAGAAGCAUGUUAGAUCAGACGCUUUUUGCAGCCAUAUUGCUUCUUACAUCAGUGACAUCCAUGACGUUGAAUUGUGUUUCCAAAUGCGCACCGCAUACCAUCAAAAAAGUGGAUUUCAGAAAGUUUGUAGGUACAAGGGAGCUUAUAUGGACUUGGAAUACAACCACAAAGGAGCGUGUUUCAUGUAACGUGGACCAGAUGAAAAUUCUCACACAAAGAUCUAUACUCUUCACACGAACAUCUUACACUAACACCGAACUGCGUCCAAUUGUAAAGAACUACAUGGGAAUAUUUCCAAAGCAAGACCAAAACGUGAUGCAACUCCAUAAAUCAGGUCGCCCACUCUAUUAUGACCUCCGUGUUUGGAAUUCCGUAGUUCAACAAGGCCCUCACGAAAAAUGUGUUGCACGAUUCGCGAAACGCGCACAAAGUGGACACGUCAUUUAUGAUUCGGCGUGUCAGGCCAUUCUGCACUAUAAAUUUCGUUAAAUUUAAGAGAGAGAAAGCAUGAAGAACAGAGAGAAGACGGCCAUUUCAUACACUUUGUUGAUGUAGUGUUUUCAAGGUAUACGACAAUAAAACGAAGACCACCGCACCACUGCUAUAUUGGAAAAAAUAAAAGUGGGC